rnacentral:rRNA from 1 species
UACGAAGGGGGCUAGCGUUGCUCGGAAUCACUGGGCGUAAAGCGCACGUAGGCGGACUCUUAAGUCAGGGGGUGAAAUCCUGGAGCUCAACUCCAGAACUGCCUUUGAUACUGAGAGCCUUGAGUCCGGAAGAGGUAAGUGGAACUGCGAGUGUAGAGGUGAAAUUCGUAGAUAUUCGCAAGAACACCAGUGGCGAAGGCGGCUUACUGGUCCGGUACUGACGCUGAGGUGCGAAAGCGUGGGGAGCAAACAGGG